rnacentral:ncRNA from 1 species
UUGCAGAGAACGGAUUAAAUGGGAAUGCCGUGCGAUUCGGCAACAGUUCCCGCUGCUGUAAGUCUCGUUUCCGUGAAAGGAGCGGAAACACCCGAUUCGGCAUCUUUUGCCACUGACCUUUUACGGGUCGGGAAGGCGCCGGAAAUUCGGUAGGAGACAAGUCAGAAGACCUGCCUGUAACGGU